rnacentral:rRNA from 1 species
GGUUAAGCUACUAAGGGCAGACGGUGGAUGCCUAGGCGCCAGGCGGCGAUGAAGGACGUGGCCAGCUGCGAUAAGCCUCGGGGAGGAGCUAAACAUCCUUUGAUCCGGGGAUUUCCGAAUGGGGAAACCCGGCACGGCCAAUACCGUGUCACCGUAUGCUGAAUAAAAUAGGCAUACGGAGCUAACGAGGGGAACUGAAACAUCUCACGUACCCUCAGGAAAAGAAAUCAAUUGAGAUUUCCCAAGUAGCGGCGAGCGAACGGGAAAUAGCCCAAACCGUACUUUCUUCGGAGAGUGCGGGGUUGUAGGACCGCCAUAACGUGAUCCGUGAUUAGAUAGGAGAACAGGCUGGAAAGCCUGACCAUAGACGGUGAAAGUCCGGUAUCUGAAAUCGAACAGCGGCACAGGCGGCACCUGAGUAGGACGGGACACGAGGAACCCUGUCUGAAUCCGGGAGGACCAUCUUCCAAGGCUAAAUACGACCUGGCGACCGAUAGUGAACCAGUACCGUGAGGGAAAGGUGAAAAGUACCCCUGUGAGGGGAGUGAAAUAGUACCUGAAACCGUCUGCUUACAAGCAGUGGGAGCACUAUGGGAUUUCGGUCCCAGUGUGACCGCGUGCCUUUUGCAUAAUGAGUCAGCGAGUUACUCUGUGCAGCGAGGUUAAGCCGUAUAAGAGGUGUAGCCGAAGCGAAAGCGAGUCUGAACAGGGCGCAAUAGUUGUACGGAGUAGACCCGAAACCGGGUGAGCUAUCCAUGGCCAGGGUGAAGCGUGAGUAAAAUCACGUGGAGGCCCGAACCGUUGCAGGUUGAAAACUGCUCGGAUGAGCUGUGGAUAGGGGUGAAAGGCCAAACAAACCCGGAAAUAGCUGGUUCUCCCCGAAAUAUAUUUAGGUAUAGCCUCGCAAACUCUGCAACGGGGGUAGAGCACUGAAUAGGUUAGGGGCCCCACCAGGUUACCAACCCUAAUCAAACUCCGAAUACCGUUGACAUUUAUUGCGGGAGUCAGACUACGGGAGCUAAGUUUCGUGGUCGAGAGGGAAACAGCCCAGACCGUCGGCUAAGGUCCCCAAAUGUGUGCUAAGUGGGAAAGGAUGUGGGAAUGCACAGACAACCAGGAGGUUGGCUUAGAAGCAGCCAUCCUUUAAAGAAAGCGUAACAGCUCACUGGUCAAGUGAGCCUGCGCCGAAAAUGUAACGGGGCUAAAGCACACUACCGAAGCCACGGAUCGAAAAUUAUUUCGAUGGUAGGGGAGCAUUGUCUACGGGCAGAAGGUCGAUCGACGAGAACGGCUGGACUGUAGACAAGAGCCCAUGCUGACAUGAGUAGCGAUAAAGCGGGUGAGAAGCCCGCUCGCCGUAAGCCCAAGGUUUCCUGAGUAAAGCUAAUCUGCUCAGGGUUAGUCGAUCCCUAAGCCGAGGCCGAAAGGCGUAGGUGAUGGAAAACAGGUUAAUAUUCCUGUACCACCUGGCAGUCGUUUGAGUGAUGGGGGGACGCAGAAGGGUAGGUCAUCCGUCUGAUGGAACAGGCGGUAGAAGCCGGUAGGCGGGGGAGACAGGCAAAUCCGUUUCCCUGUAUAACGCCGAGAGGUGAUCUGGAGGGGUUUUCCCCGUAAACUGACUGAUCCCAUGCUGCCAAGAAAAGCCUCUAGCGAGACUGUUGGGUGAUCGUACCGCAAACCGACACAGGUGGGCAGGGAGAGUAUCCCAAGGCGCUUGAGAGAACCCUGGUUAAGGAACUCGGCAAAAUGACACCGUAACUUCGGGAGAAGGUGUGCCCUUGAAGGUGAUGGAACUGGCUUCCUGAGNNNNNNNNNNNNNNNNNNNNNNNNNNNNNNNNNNNNNNNNNNNNNNNNNNNNNNNNNNNNNNNNNNNNNNNNNNNNNNNNNNNNNNNNNNNNNNNUGAGCUUUUGGGGGUCGCAGAGAAAUGGCGGUAGCGACUGUUUACUAAAAACACAGGACUCUGCUAAGUCGCAAGACGAUGUAUAGGGUCUGACGCCUGCCCGGUGCUGGAAGGUUAAGGGGAGAUGUUAUUUCUUCGGAGAGAAGCAUUGAACCGAAGCCCCAGUAAACGGCGGCCGUAACUAUAACGGUCCUAAGGUAGCGAAAUUCCUUGUCGGGUAAGUUCCGACCUGCACGAAUGGCGUAACGACUUCCGCGCUGUCUCAACCAGGGACUCAGCGAAAUUGAAUGGGCGGUGAAGAUGCCGUCUACCCGCGAAAAGACGGAAAGACCCCGGCACCUUUACUACAGCUUGACAUUGGAUCUUGGGGCAGCAUGUGUAGGAUAGGUGGGAGGCUAUGAAGCGGGCACGCCAGUGCUUGCAGAGCCGCCCUUGAAAUACCACCCUUGCUGUCUUAGGGUUCUAAUCCCGCACCGUGAUCCGGUCGGGAAACAGUGUCUGGUGGGUAGUUUGACUGGGGCGGUCGCCUCCCAAAGAGUAACGGAGGCGCGCGAAGGUUCCCUCAGGCUGAUUGGAAACCAGCCGCAGAGUGUAAAGGCACAAGGGAGCUUGACUGCGAGGGAGACAUUCCGAGCAGGUACGAAAGUAGGUCUUAGUGAUCCGGCGGUUCCGAAUGGAAGGGCCGUCGCUCAACGGAUAAAAGGUACGCCGGGGAUAACAGGCUUAUCGCAUCCAAGAGUUCACAUCGACGAUGCGGUUUGGCACCUCGAUGUCGGCUCAUCACAUCCUGGGGCUGGAGCAGGUCCCAAGGGUUUGGCUGUUCGCCAAUUAAAGUGGUACGUGAGCUGGGUUUAAAACGUCGUGAGACAGUUUGGUCCCUAUCUUUCGCGGGCGCAGGAUAUUUGAGGGGAGCUGUUCCUAGUACGAGAGGACCGGAAUGGACGAACCAAUGGUGAUCCAGUUGUCGCGCCAGCGGCAUAGCUGGGUAGCUAAGUUCGGACGGGAUAACCGCUGAAAGCAUCUAAGCGGGAAGCCCACCCCGAGAUAAGAUAUCCCGAUCGCAUGGAAACAUGCGGCCUGAAGGCUCCUUGAAGACGACAAGGUAGAUAGGCCGGGUGUGUAAGCACAGCAAUGUGUUUUAGCUUACCGGUACUAAUUGGCCGUGCGGCUUAACCAC